UUGACGGGGGAGCACCACAACGGUGGAGCUUGCGGUUUAAUUGGAUUCAACGCCGGAAAUCUUACCGGGACCGACAGCUGAAUGAUAGUCGGGCUGAAGACUCUACUUGACUAGCUGAGAGGAGGUGCAUGGCCGUCGUCAGUUCGUACUGUGAAGCAUCCUGUUAAGUCAGGCAACGAGCGAGACCCACGCCAACAGUUGCCAGCUCGUCCUCCGGGAUGGUGGGGACACUGUUGGGACCGCCUCUGCUAAAGAGGAGGAAGGAAUGGGCAACGGUAGGUCAGCAUGCCCCGAAUUAUCUGGGCUACACGCGGGCUACAAUGGGUGGGACAAUGGGUAUCGACACCGAAAGGUGAAGGCAAUCUCCUAAACCCAUCCGUAGUUCGGAUUGUGGGCUGCAACUCGCCCACAUGAAGCUGGAAUCUGUAGUAAUCGUGUCUCAAAAUGGCACGGUGAAUAUGUCCCUGCUCCUU
rnacentral:rRNA from 1 species